rnacentral:rRNA from 1 species
GAUGCGGGCGGGUCCUUGGCCGGCGGCGCUCGGGCAUCAAGCGGCCAUGGCCAUCUCUCUGAAGAAAAAUAGUAGAAGAAAGGGAAUCAAAUAAGAAUGUGGGCAAGACCUGCCGCAAAGACAAAAACAUGUCGGAAGAUCACAUACGAGCAAUUAAAGAGAAAACAACAACAUAUGCGUGCAUGCCCCAGCUCAGGAGAAGAGAGACACUGAGACACAGCCGGUAGCCUGGUACCAGCGAGGAAGGAACCAAAAAAAGGGCCGAGGCCCGGGCGUCGCUGCCCCGUUUGUUGUCGUCCCGGCAGCAGCCGUGCGGCCCGUGCCCGUCCCGCAGCUCCGGUGGCCUCACAUUAGCCGUACAUCGGACGACCUCGGCAGGACCGCUUGUCGGUGCAGAUCGGAGCAAUCCAGAAAAUAGAGUUGGGAAAUCACCGGGCCGGCCUCGUAGCAGCGCAGCCACCGGCGGGUCGUCAUAGACUCAUAGCACCGGCGGCCGCCCUUGGAGCGCAGCUCAGCACCGAGCGUAGCCACGGAAAUUGAAGCAUCACCGCAGCCUCGCGACACCUCCGUGGUUGUCGACGCUGUCAUAGCACGCCUCUCGCCGUGGCCCGUCGCCGCCUUGCAACAUCCCGCAGCGCCGCCGCCGCGAACUGCCAUCGUCCCGCAACCAUGGUGGCUGUCGCCUUGCAGCACUGUCAUCUCCCCCUCUCGCAGAAGAGCAUGGCGAGCUCCGGCGACCGGGCCGCGAGAGAGGCGAGCCUAUUAGGCAUGGUGCUGUUGAAGGAGGAGCGGCGAUUGAAAGAUAAAUGGUGGCACAGACGGCGCAAGGGGAAGAUGGAAUGGGGAUCGGGAAAGACGACCAGGCAAGAAGAUAAGGUCGUAUGGAGGCAGCGGUGGGUGGGGCUGCUGGACACGAGUCAUGUGCGCAGGGGGAAGCUGAU